UCGGUAGCUCAGCUGGUUAGAGCGCUGGCCUGUCACGCCAGAGGUCGAGGGUUCGAGCCCCUUCCG
rnacentral:tRNA from 2 species